rnacentral:lncRNA from 1 species
GGGCGCUUGGUGGAAGUUCUGUCGAAAUUUGAAUAUAGCACUAUGGGUAUUUUUCUAUACCUUCAAUUAUGUUAUAAAAAUAUUUUAUAUGAUUGUUAAUCAUCAAGGAGGUUUUGGUUUAGGAUUUAAUAUUUAGAUUUCUUAGUUUAAAUUUUUGAAAUAUAUACUUUCACUGUACCAUCAUAAUCCUACAGCACCAAAGCAC